AAAUAUUGAACCUCUUUUAUUUUCUAAUAAAUGGCCCAACAAGCCAACUCUUUGAUGAAAAAGAAAAAAAAAACAAUCUUGAUUCCUGAGGACUCUAUUAAUGUGGCGAUAACAAUGUUCGAUCUUCAUAAACUAAUUAAGAACCACACAUCAUCACUGUUUUCCCUAUAAGCAGGUUGAGCUUGACGAUUCAUGAUUCCGAUUUUGCCACACAUCAAUCAACGCAGCAAGAAUAUCAUACACCAGUUGGUAUUGAAAACAUAAACUUACUCCUUCCAAAAUAAGGGAAUAAAUGACUUCUACUUUUUAAGAGUUCUUUUUAUCAUUCUCAGAAAAGUUAUCUUCUCGAAAAAUAAAGAGUUCCGAAAAUGCUUUAUCUCCCUUUACUUGUAAGGGAGAGUCUCCCUCGUUUAUGCAUUCCUAGUUUACUUGUACUUGAGAGGUUUCCUCUUUCUUAGGUAUUUAGUUUCUAGGUUUCUUUCUAGCAGUGGAGGUGAUAGUCCUUAUUAGGAUAGUUGACUUAUGACCAACCUUAGGAUAGAGGUAAAGUUUUAUGUCCCUCCUUGUACUUUCUACCUUUUAUUUAUGAUAAGGCCAUGGGAGGCAGUGGCGGAUUCAGAAUUUAGGCGUUGUGGGUGUUUAAGAGGUUCAAAUACAUAUAUUGACACCCAAAGCUUUAAGAUUCCGCAUGGAAAUCAAAGCACUCAGCUAUCUUCUUGGUUUCACGGGUGCUUAUUUUCUAUCUUAUACAAUUUUUUAUACAUUUCUUAUAUAAUUAUACCUAUUCUGCAUCGUGUUUAACAACUACUGCAGAACCACAAUUUUCCACCUGGGUCCAGUCCUGACGGGAGGUGAGAGCCUCAGGUAAGGUCCAUUUAAAAAAAAAAAAAAAAUCCUAAAUCCUGAACCAAAUUUAGCUUGGCAUCGAGAUGUAAUUGUUGUGCCAUGUUGUAGGAGGAAAUGUUUGGCCACGUAUUCCAUAAUGUAUCCACUAUUAAAAGAAUUUGGGAAUAUUUUAAUUCCUAUGCAAGCAUAUCCACAGGAGGUUUACAACUUCAGCAGGUUAUUCUUCAAUGAUGGACGACUAAUGUUCUUUCUAGACUCGAACCAAUAUUUUAGCCAGUUUCGACCAUUAUUAUUUGGAGGUUGUGGAAGAAAAGGAAUAGCAACAAGCACGGAGAGAAUAGCAACAAGCACGGAGAGAAGGUUACUCAGGUGCGUUGGAAUUUACCUUCAGAUAAUUGGUUAAAAUUAAACAUGGAUGGAUUGUGCAGAGGUAAUCUAGGUAGAAGGUCUUAUGCUUUUUGUAUUAGAGAUCUUCUUGGUGAUUUGGUAUAUGCAGAAGCAAAGGAAAUCAGAGAAGGCACAAACAUAUUUUCAGAGACUACAACAAUUCUAGAGGCUAGCUGCUAGAUAUUGUGUAGCUCAUAACUUGUUUAAUUUGAUAUUAGAAACUGAUUCUUUAUUUUUGAAAAAUACAAUUAAUGAUACUUGGAAGAUGCCAUGGAGUUUAGCUGCUAAAUUGGAGGAAAUAGGUGAGCUACUGGAUAAUCUAAAUGUCGACCUAAUUCAUUUUAUAAGGAAAUGAAACCAGCUUGCGAACUAUUUGGCAAAUAAUUCACUUUGUUGGUGUAAUAUACCACAUUUAUAAUAAAUGAUUACAGUUGAAAUUAAAUUAACAAAAAUAAAGAAAUUAAAACAAUCUUCUUCUUGGUUGAGGUGCGGAUAUCAGGUGCGGAUAUCUCACUUUCUUUAAGGAGAUUCAAGCUCACUGCAACAUAAUCUACACCGAUUCAACAGUAUAUCUCUUGAUUUAUCCCCUUCAGGAUAACAGUCCAUCAACGAUGUACAACUCAAGCAAUUCCGAAUUAAUUGAAGAGUUCAAAACUCCACCAUAAGAACACCUUCCUUCAACAUAUAUUUACUCUCUUUGUAUAGUGAAUAUAGUUAAAGACUUAGAAUAUUUUCUUUGUCUCAACUCUCUCUUUUACUAAUAUAUUAAUUCUUUUUUGGUAUAGUGAAUAUAGUUGAAGACUUAGAAUUUUUUUUUGUCUCAACUCUUUCUUUCACUUCACAUAUUUUUCUUCUACUCAUCAAAGGAAGAAACACAACUAUUUAUAGGUGAUGAAUUCUUUCAUGUAUUGAAUAGGAAGAAUGUGGUGUAGUAAAGUGGGUACAUGAAUGGUUGGAUGUUACAUGAGUUACAAGCAUAAUUACAUAGUAUAAUGGUCAAAUAAAGAUUUAGUGGUUAUAGGAGUUUCAAGAAACUCAUAGCCACAUUCUUCCACUAACAAAUAUAAGUAAUAAUACUCAUAAUACACAAAUUAUAUCCACUAAUAUAUGCACUUAAUAUAUUAAUUUAAUAAUAAAAUACAUAUAUACCAACAUUUUCCCACUCAUUUUAAUAUUAAAUUAUGAGAGUUCACCAAUUUAGUUGAAGGUAGACUAUUGUGCAUAAUGAAGGUGUGCUCUGCAUUGAGCCUCCACUUAGUAAAACAAUAAACUUUACUCCAAAGUCAGUUGUGGUCUCAGACUUGAACUAUGACUGCUUAAGGAAAAUAAAGUAUUACUGCCUAUACACGAUAUUUAAGGUGUUGACAUAAGCUUUAAUAGCCAGCACAUUACGGCCAUGUGCUAUCCUGAUUUUUCAUGAGAGUUUUUGAGAAUAAGCCACAUUCUCAUAGGAAGCGACUUACUUCGACUCUCACAUAGGUGAAAUUUGUCAAGGGUGGUCCUGUAAUUUCGACACUCCACUCAAUAAGAGAUACACAAUUUCAUUAAGAGUUCUUAGACUCAACCUUUACAAUUCAUAUACAGGAACAAAUGCACUCACACCUUAGGAAGGAUUAAUCAACAGUGCAUCUCACACCAAGUUAUCAUAUGAUUUGUUCUUCCCAUUGAACUUAGUUAUAGGAUCUCUAGUCCCCAGGUUGAGUUUCCUCAUAUAUUACUCAUGAUUUUUUAUAGACUUCCUUCCUUCUCCUUGAUGCAUUUCAGACCCUUUAUCUUGUCAAGACCUUGCUUAAUUUAUCUGCAAGAUAAUCACAUAAUUUGACAUACUCAAAAGUAGUGGUACCACUUGUCAAAUAUAAUAUCACAAUAUUUUUUAUUCUCAGGUGUCUGAAUUUACUGUUGUAAUAACAACUUCAAACUUUAUAAUAAUAAUAAUGCUAUCACAAUAACUCAAAAUUAGAGAAAUCAAUUUCUCAAUAUAAAGUGAUUGAUCAAUUCACUUUUUCACUAGUUGAAGCUAAAAUAGUUAGUUCAACCUCCAUGAUUGAGUUAGCACAACAUAAGUUAUUUCUUCAUUUCAGUAAAUAGCACCAAGUUAUUUUUUUCAUUUGCAUCAAAAAUACUUUUAAGUACAACAAGAUUUAUUUUAAUAAAACAAGCUACAACUUUUUUCAAGUAAAUAUACCCAAUUAGCUUGUAAUAACCUACUUAAGUACUUUUACCAAUUUCAGCCAAAUGCAACUAGGCACAUGUCUCAUAUUUUAUUAGGCUAGUAAACUCUUUUUUUUUCACAUCACUUUCACAUAUUUGAAUCAAAAGAAGUUGCAUGACUCAUAUAAUGAAUAAACUGUAUUUCACAAUUUUUCUUUUUCACCAUAAUAUGACAUGUCAAGGAAAAGUUCAUCACAUAAUUUAGGUAUUUUUAUUCCAAGAAUGAAAUUUAUCUCACCUAAAUAUUUAAUGUCAAAUGACUACUCAAUAUUUUUUAUUGUUUCUUUGCUAAUAUGCUAGAGCCAAAUACAAAGACAUCAAGUUAUAUACAAAUUAAUAAUGACAUGUGAUUUACUCCAACAAUAAUUAUGCACUUAUAACACUUUUUUAACCCAUUCUCAAAAGUGCAAAUACCACAAUUUUGUGGUGAUUUUUUCCUCAUUUCAUUAGCCCCCACUAUUUUGAGCAUUUGAAAUACCACUUAUGUUUAUGAAAAGUAGUAUCAUUUUAUUCAAAAUAAAAGAUUAGGUAAAUUUUUUUUUUAACCUUUUCUCCACAGCAAGAAGAAUUUUUUUAACCUUUCAUCCCCUUGAGUUGGGCAAGUAGAAAGAUACUUUACUUGUUAUCUCUUCUCUUCCAUCUGUUGAAGAGACAUGAUGUUGAGAUGUUGAGGCCUCUCAUCUUGAUAUCCACGAUUUUUCAAACUGUAACAAAACAUGAGUCUCCUUAAAAUUGAUGGUGUAAUAUACCACAUUUACAAUAAAUGAUUACAGUUGAAAUAAAAUUAACAAAAAUGAAGAAAUUAAAACAAUCUUCUUCUUGGCUGAGGCGCGGAUGUCUCACUUUUUUUAAGGAGAUUCAAACCCACUGCGGCAUAAUCUACACCGAUCCAGCAAUAUAUCUCUUGACUUGUUCCCUCAAGGAUACAAUAGCCCAUCAACGAUGUACAACUUAAGCAACUCCGGAUUAGUUGAAGAGUUCAAAGCUCCACCAUAAGAACACCUUCCUUCAACAUAUAUUUACUCUCUUUGUAUAGUGAAUAUAGUUAAAGACUUAGAAUAUUUUCUUUGUCUCAACUCUCUUUUUCACUAAUAUAUUUAUUCUUUUUUGGUAUAGUGAAUAUAGUUGAAGACUUAAAAAUUUUCUUUGUCUCAACUCUCUCUUUCACUUCACAUCUUUUUCUUCUACUCAUCAAAGAAAGAAACACAACUAUUUAUAGGUGAUGAAUUCAUUCAUGUAUUGAAUAAGAAGAAUGUGGUAUAGUCAAAUGGGUAUAUGAAUAGUUGGAUGUUACAUGAGUUACAAGCAUAAUUACAUAGUAUAAUAGGCAAAUAGGACUUAGUGUUUAUAGGAGUUUCAAGAAACUCAUGACCACAUUAUUCCUCUAACAAAUGUAAGUAAUAAUACUCAUAAUACACAAUUUAUAUCCACUAACAUAUGCACUUAAUACAUUAAUUUAGUAAUAAAAUGCAUAUACACUAAGUCUGUCAAAGGGUCCGGGCCGGGUCAACCCGGAACCGACCUAUGUUAAUUUACCAGGUCUUGGGCCGGCCCGAUUUCAGGCUUGCUUAAACCGACCGGUCCGGUAUCGGGCCCAACAAUUUUUUUUUAAAAACAAGCUAGGACCGGCUCAUUAUACUUAGAUCGGUCCAACCCGGGUUAACCCGGUCAAAACCGGGUCAAACCUACAAAAAAAGAUUAAAAUUUAAAAGUUUUUUCUCAAAUAUGCACUAUAUAUACCCACCUAUAUACAUUUUAAAUACGCUAAAUAAUAUACACACAAUAUAUAUACACUAUAUAUACACUACAUUAAAAUUUAGAAAACAUAUACACAUAUACACAUGUAUACGUUAAAACUUAAAUAUAUAUACUACUUUAGGGUGUAUAUAAAUAUGUACACAUAUAUACGUACGAUUACGAUAUAAUAUAUGUACUACUUUAAAUAAUAUUCAUACAACAUAUACACACUAUAUAUAUACUACUUUAUAAAAUAUAUACACUUGUAUAUGUUAAAUAUAUAUUACUUUAGAGUCUAUAGAAAAUAUACACAUAUAUAUGCGUACCAUACAAUAUAUGUACUACUUCAAAUAAUAUAGACACAAUAUAUAUACAUUAUAUAUAUACUGCUUUAGAAAAUAUAUACACAUGUAUACGUUACAUAUAUAUACUACUUUAGAGUGUAUACAAAAUAUGUACACAUGUAUUACGAUUUAGAGACAAUAGAAAAUAUGCUACUUAAUACUCCCUCCGUCCCAUUUUAUGUGUCGCCAUUUGACCAGGCACGGAGUUUAAGAAAUAAGGGAAGACUUGGUAAAGUUUACCAAAUUAUCCUUUAUCAAAAAAUGUGUCAAUAUAUAUUUUUUUAAUUAAGUGGGACCAAUAAGGGUAAAAGGGUAAUUGUGCCUUUACAAAGUUGUCAAAUAAGGAAAGGCGACACUUAUUUUGGGACGGAUUAAAAAGAAAAUGAUGACACAUAAUUUGGGACGGAGGGAGUAUAGUAAUACUUGAAGUUUUGAACUUAAAAGAAAUUUAUUUUUUCAUUAUGUGUAUAUAUGUUUGUUAUGUUUAAUUGUCUAUUACUUAGUGUAAAGCUUGAUAGUAAAUUAGUAAUUUAUUAAAAAUAAGUAUUUAAUUUAAACUAGAAAUUCAAUUUAAAUGGAAAAAAUUACAAAAAAAGGAGUGAAUAAAUGUUAUAUUUUAUUGAUUGCAAAAUGAUCCAAAAUUUAUAAUGUACAUGAAUGAAAAAUAUACAAAUUUUGCGUUAUUUUUUUCAGCUUAUCCAUGUUAAUAUUAACAGGAACUGACAUAGGAUAAUCAAAAUCAAUGGGGGCAAAAUCAUGCAUUGGACUUGAUUGUGUUGAGUUCUCCCUUGAAGUCAUAAUUUCUUUAAGAUUCUAUUCGUCUUCAGCUCCACCUCCAUUCUUUGAUUUCUUCAUUCCGCUCUAAUCCAAUCUCUAAGGCAAGCUAGAACAUUCAUAGCAUUGCUUUCCAAUGAGUGUCGAUUGUCUCCAAGCUGUUGUCGUCCCUGACUAAAAGCGCUCUCCAAUGCAACGGUUGACAUCGGAAUAUUUAAUAUAUCUCUAGCUAAUCUUGAAAGCACAUGAUAUUGUCUUUCAUUAUUCUUCCACCAAUCUAACGCGUUGAUCCGUUGUCUACGAUCCUCUAUCAACGUUCGACGAUAAUACUUAAGCUCUUUCCGAGAAGUUGUUGUGUAAGUUUCCACCUCAACACAGUUCCAAACAUUUAAGUCAUAAAAGUGAUCAG
rnacentral:lncRNA from 1 species